rnacentral:rRNA from 1 species
AGCGAACGCUGGCGGCAGGCCUAACACAUGCAAGUCGAACGAACCUUUCGGGGUUAGUGGCGGACGGGUGAGUAACACGUGGGAACGUGCCGUUAGGUUCGGGAUAACUCAGGGAAACUUGUGCUAAUACCGAAUGUGCCCUUCGGGGGAAAGAUUUAUCGCCUUUAGAGCGGCCCGCGUCUGUUUAGCUAGUUGGUUGAGGUAAUGGCUCACCAAGGCGACGAUCAGUAGCUGGUCUGAGAGGAUGAACCGCCACAUUGGGACUGGGACACGGCCCAAACUCCUACGGGAGGCAGCAGUGGGGAAUCUUGCGCAAUGGGCGAAAGCCUGACGCAGCCAUGCCGCGUGAAUGAUGAAGGUCUGAGGAUUGUAAAAUUCUUUCACCGGGGACGAUAAUGACGGUACCCGGAGAAGAAGCCCCGGCUAACUUCGUG